UACGAAAGGGGCUAGCGUUGUUCGGAAUUACUGGGCGUAAAGCGCACGUAGGCGGCCUUGUAAGUUGGGGGUGAAAUCCCGGAGCUCAACUCCGGAACUGCCUUCAAAACUACAAAGCUAGAGGAUGUGAGAGGAGAGUGGAAUUCCGAGUGUAGAGGUGAAAUUCGUAGAUAUUCGGAAGAACACCAGUGGCGAAGGCGACUCUCUGGCACAUUUCUGACGCUGAGGCGCGAAAGCGUGGGGAGCAAACAGG
rnacentral:misc_RNA from 1 species